UACGUAGGGGGCAAGCGUUGUCCGGAUUUAUUGGGCGUAAAGAGCGUGUAGGCGGCUUGGUAGGUCCGCUGUGAAAACUCGAGGCUCAACCUCGAGAUGUCGGCGGAAACCACUUGGCUAGAGUCCGGAAGAGGAGAGUGGAAUUCCUGGUGUAGCGGUGAAAUGCGCAGAUAUCAGGAAGAACACCUAUGGCGAAGGCAGCUCUCUGGGACGGUACUGACGCUGAGAGGCGAAAGCGUGGGGAGCGAACAGG
rnacentral:rRNA from 1 species